CAAAAAGUAGUUUAAAAAAAACAAAAGCUUUGGGAGCUUUAAUUUUAACCAAUUAACUUUUUGA
rnacentral:tRNA from 1 species